rnacentral:rRNA from 1 species
AUAGGUGGGAGGCUUUGAAGUGUGGACGCCAGUCUGCAUGGAGCCGACCUUGAAAUACCACCCUUUAAUGUUUGAUGUUCUAACGUGGACCCGUAAUCCGGGUUGCGGACAGUGUCUGGUGGGUAGUUUGACUGGGGCGGUCUCCUCCUAAAGAGUAACGGAGGAGCACGAAGGUUGGCUAAUCCUGGUCGGACAUCAGGAGGUUAGUGCAAUGGCAUAAGCCAGCUUGACUGCGAGCGUGACGGCGCGAGCAGGUGCGAAAGCAGGUCAUAGUGAUCCGGUGGUUCUGAAUGGAAGGGCCAUCGCUCAACGGAUAAAAGGUACUCCGGGGAUAACAGGCUGAUACCGCCCAAGAGUUCAUAUCGACGGCGGUGUUUGGCACCUCGAUGUCGGCUCAUCACAUCCUGGGGCUGAAGUAGGUCCCAAGGGUAUGGCUGUUCGCCAUUUAAAGUGGUACGCGAGCUGGGUUUAGAACGUCGUGAGACAGUUCGGUCCCUAUCUGCCGUGGGCG